UUCAGCAACCUGAUAAAAUACCUGAACGUAAAAAUUGUAAGACUGGCAGGCUGCGGCCACCAAAGCAGCAGCGGCACACUGUUCUAGGGGCUCCCAGAGGAGUGAGGGAGAUACCACCAGGAUUAACACAAGGAGCUAGAUCAGCAGGCAAAAUGGUAGACUAUUUACCUUACAUCCCUCCAUAUCUUCAAAUAGUUUUUUAUUUUAUGAAUGUUUCAGGGGGUUAAUACUGCCUCAUGGAUCUUUACAUUAAAGAGAAGGUGCAAGCCAUAUAAAAGUAAUGGGAUACUCUAUUUAUCUUUCAUAUGGUUAUUUUCAGCCAUUGCCUUUGUUGAAAGCAUCCAUUGAUUAAACCAAAGUUGCCUCUG